AAUUGAUGGACAAAUUAAGCACUCAAAGGCCAUCCAUUUGCCUCCAACCUGGAGCCUCUUAGCCAGGGAUACAGAGAGAAGAAGAGGAGGAGGAGGUUUGGUUUCCCAGGCAGCAGGCUGAGUCUGCAGGAUGGUUAUUGAAGAACAAUGGAGGCAGAUGCUGGAGCGGCUGCGGGAGAGCCUGGCUUGAGGGCAGCCCUCAGAGCUGUCCUGCCUGGGCUGAGGUGGCCAGCCCUGCUCUCCAGCACAGGCAUUUGGCUGUGGCCCCUCAGGGGAGGGUGUCGCCAUGGGCAGGGCUUUCUGCAGCUGAGGGGUCCUGGAGCGAGCUGCCAGCAGCAGGGAGGGAGGCUUCAACAGCUGCCCAGGAACCACUCGUGUGACUCCAGGCUUCGGCCUUUCAGCAGACUUCGGGACAAACUCUUCUGGGCCAAGAGGAGGCUGCGAUUCUGGAAUGGGGCCUGGAGGGAGGCUGGGGAGCUGCUGUCUUGGGAAAACCAGAGUUUGCUCCAGGCCAGAGCGGACCCUGUGGGGCUGCAGGCAGAAGAGAACAGAAGUUUGUGAACCACUGAGACUUUUAGAAAUUCAUGACUUUUACAUCAUGCCCUGUAAUACAGUCCGAUGUGUCUUAGUAGAACAAUUAUGUUUUAGGUUGUGCAACAAUCAAAUUAUUUAAGUUAACACCAGCCAGGUGCAGUGGCUCAUGUCUAAAAUCCCAGCACUUUGGGAGACCAGGGCAGGAGAAACACUUGAGCCCAGGAGUUGGAGACCAGCCUGGGCAACAUAAGGAGACCCCAUCUCUACAAAACAUUUAAAAGUUAUCUGAGUGUGGUGGUGCCCAAGACUUGGGAGGCUGAGGUGGGAGGAUCGCUUGAGCCCAGGGAUUAGAGGCCGUGGUGCAUCAUUGUACUGCAGCCUGGGGCGACAGAGCAAGACCCUGUCUCAAAACAACGACGACGACCACAACAACAUUUAACCUUCCCAUUCCAAUUUACUUAAGUAAAAU
rnacentral:lncRNA from 10 species